UCCGUAGGUGAACCUGCGGAGGGAUCAUUGCUGGAACACGCCUCGCGGCGUACCCAGAAACCCUUUUGUGAACUUAUACCUUUUAUCGUUGCCUCGGCACGGCCCGGGGGGCGCUUCAGCCCCUCCCAGCCUCGCGGCUGGAGAAGGCCUGCCGGUGGCCCAAUAAACUCUUGUUUUCUGAACGUAUCUCUUCUGAGUAACAAACAAAAAAAAAUGAAUCAAAACUUUCAACAACGGAUCUCUUGGUUCUGGCAUCGAUGAAGAACGCAGCGAAAUGCGAUAAGUAAUGUGAAUUGCAGAAUUCAGUGAAUCAUCGAAUCUUUGAACGCACAUUGCGCCCGCUGGUAUUCCAGCGGGCAUGCCUGUUCGAGCGUCAUUUCAACCCUCAAGCUCCCGUGCUUGGUGUUGGGGCACAGCCUUGUCAAAGAGGCUGGCCCUCAAAUUUAGUGGCGAGCUCGCUAAGACUCCGAGCGUAGUAAUUACUUCUCGCUUAGGUUGACUUAGCGGCCCUCUGCCGUAAAACCCCCUAAAUUUUUCUGAAAGUUGACCUCGGAUCAGGUAGGAAUACCCGCUGAACUUAAGCAUAUCAAUAAGCGGAGGA
rnacentral:rRNA from 1 species